UACAGAGGGUGCAAGCGUUGUUCGGAUUUACUGGGCGUAAAGCGUACGCAGACGGCUUGGUAGGUCGGAUGUGAAAGCCCCGGGCUCAACCCGGGAAUUGCAUCCGAAACCACCUCGCUCGAGUGUGGGAGAGGGAAGCGGAAUUCCUGGUGUAGAGGUGAAAUGUGUAGAGAUCAGGAGGAACACCGGUGGCGCAGGCGGCCCGCUGGACGGAGACUGACGCUGAGGCGCGAAAGCGUGGGGAGCAAACGGG
rnacentral:rRNA from 1 species